GCUCUGGUGUUGAAAUUGGUGACACAGUGGACUUAAAAUCCAUCGAAGUUUAUCUUCAUGUCGGUUCGACUUCGGCCUUGGGUACCA
rnacentral:tRNA from 1 species